rnacentral:tRNA from 1 species
GGCGUAGUGGCGAAGUUGGUCAACGCGACAGUCUGCAAAACUGUUAUGCACCGGUUCGAGCCCGGUCUACGCCU